rnacentral:rRNA from 1 species
AACGCGAAGAACCUUACCUGGGCUCGAACGGCUUCGGAAAGCCGGUGGAAACACUGGUUCUCCCGCAAGGGAUCGGAGUCGAGGUGCUGCAUGGCUGUCGUCAGCUCGUGUCGUGAGAUGUUGGGUUAAGUCCCGCAACGAGCGCAACCCUUGUCCUGUGUUGGCAUGCCGAAAGGCGCAACUCUCAGGAGACCGCCAGCGAUAAGUUGGAGGAAGGUGGGGAUGACGUCAAGUCAUCAUGGCCUUUAUGUCCAGGGCUACACACGUGCUACAAUGGGCGGUACAAAGCGCUGCAAACCCGCGAGGGGGAGCUAAUCGCAAAAAACCGUUCUCAGUUCGGAUCGCAGGCUGCAACUCGCCUGCGUGAAGCUGGAAUCGCUAGUAAUGGCAUAUCAGAACGAUGCCGUGAAUACGUUCCCGGGCCUUGUA